CAGACGCACGUCCACGAGCUUUGGACGCAGCAGCGCAGGCGGACGCUGUGAGAAGAUGCGACAGACUGUGACUCUCCGUCAGCUCGACGGCUCCCUCUCGUGGUGCGAAAGGGCAGAGCCGCCGCAAAGGGCCCGCUUUCAAACUCUGCCUCUCUCUGCUGGAUGUCAUGAGGUACUAACAGAGUAACACCGACAGCCGAGACGAUUACACUUGAUGGCGUGCAAGUGAACAGCAGCGGCGUUGCAUGAUGUGGUGAGACAAGUCACUCUCAGAUCAACCCGAGUGUGUGUCUGCAAGUGUUUAUUGUGGCGGUGAGUCAGUUGUCUUCGAGUAGAGCGCAGCAGACUAGUUUCGGGACUGAAGUAGCAUCAAAGGUUCAAGACAAAUGUAACAGCGACAAUUCCUUUCUUCUGUUACAGAGAUAUUACAGAAACAUCCCUUUAUCAGAAUGUUACGUUUGUGUGAGGGUGAAGUCGUGCUCAUGCUCUCAUGCAAAUGUGUAGAGUCCAGAUCAAGCAGUGGUGGAAGAAGUAGAAAACUGCAGCUGUGGAAAUAUUGAUGCUCAGAUCUGCCGAUGUGGUUUCUGUGGAACAAGUUAGCUGGAAACCAGAAACCAG
ensembl:lncRNA